GAUGAACGCUGGCGGCGUGCUUAACACAUGCAAGUCGAACGAAGCACUUUAUUUGAUUUCCUUCGGGACUGAUUAUUUUGUGACUGAGUGGCGGACGGGUGAGUAACGCGUGGGUAACCUGCCUUGUACAGGGGGAUAACAGUUGGAAACGGCUGCCAAUACCGCAUAAGCGCACAGCAUCGCAUGAUGCAGUGUGAAAAACUCCGGUGGUAUAAGAUGGACCCGCGUUGGAUUAGCUAGUUGGUGAGGUAACGGCCCACCAAGGCGACGAUCCAUAGCCGACCUGAGAGGGUGACCGGCCACAUUGGGACUGAGACACGGCCCAAACUCCUACGGGAGGCAGCAGUGGGGAAUAUUGCACAAUGGGCGAAAGCCUGAUGCAGCGACGCCGCGUGAGCGAAGAAGUAUUUCGGUAUGUAAAGCUCUAUCAGCAGGGAAGAUAAUGACGGUACCUGACGAAGAAGCACCGGCUAAAUACGUG
rnacentral:rRNA from 1 species